GAGCAUUUAUAUAUUUGUUUCCACACAACAAUAUGGCUUUGGAAAAUGUAUUUGAAAAUUAGCUCACAGCUAACUGUAUACCAUUAAUUUGAUCAUGUUGUAUUGACAAUUACUGUAUGAAUAUGGUAUUGAGUGAAACGUAAUGAACUAACGACUUGAGAUCAAAAGAUACAAUGAGGAUAUCAGUUAUGACUUAUAUAUUGAAUGGAUUGUUAGAUUAACAUCAUUUUUUUUUAUAGAAUGUAAAUUAAAUACUAUCUUGCGUCAACACAAAGAACACAACACCCAGCACAUGCAGCUUAAAUUAUUAUAAGGAUUUAUAUACACAACAAUAUUGCUUUGGAAAAUGUUUUGGUGUAUAAAUAUGGUAUGAAAUGAAAUGUUAUGAACAACUUGAGAUCAAAAGAUUACGAUUAAGAUACAAGUUCUGACUUCUACAAUGAAUGGAUUAUUUAUAUAUAUAA